rnacentral:rRNA from 1 species
CCUACGGGAGGCAGCAGUGGGGAAUAUUGCACAAUGGGGGAAACCCUGAUGCAGCGACGCCGCGUGAGUGAAGAAGUAUUUCGGUAUGUAAAGCUCUAUCAGCAGGGAAGAAAAAAGACGGUACCUGACUAAGAAGCCCCGGCUAACUACGUGCCAGCAGCCGCGGUAAUACGGAGGAUGCGCGCGUUAUCCGGAUUUAUUGGCGUUAUAGGGUGCGCAGGCGGAGGCACAAGUCAGCGGUAAAAUCGCGGGGCUCAACCCCGCUCCGCCGUUGAAACUGUGUCCCUUGUGUGCGCGCAGGGUAGGCGGAAUGCGUGGUGUAGCGGUGAAAUGCAUAGAUAUCACGCAGAACUCCGAUCGCGAAGGCAGCCUACCGGCGCGCAACUGACGCUCAUGCACGAAAGCGUGGGUAUCGAACAGGAUUAGAUACCCCUGUAGUC